AGUGAACGCUGGCGGUAGGCCUAACACAUGCAAGUCGAGCGGCAGCACAGUAAGAGCUUGCUCUUACGGGUGGCGAGUGGCGGACGGGUGAGGAAUACAUCGGAAUCUACUUUUUCGUGGGGGAUAACGUAGGGAAACUUACGCUAAUACCGCAUACGACCUACGGGUGAAAGCAGUGGAUCUUCGGACCUUGCGCGAUUGUAUGAGCCGAUGUCGGAUUAGCUAGUUGGCGGGGUAAAGGCCCACCAAGGCGACGAUCCGUAGCUGGUCUGAGAGGAUGAUCAGCCACACUGGAACUGAGACACGGUCCAGACUACUACGGGAGGCAGCAGUGGGGAAUAUUGGACAAUGGGCGCAAGCCUGAUCCAGCAAUACCGCGUGGGUGAAGAAGGCCUUCGGGUUGUAAAGCCCUUUUGUUGGGAAAGAAAAGCAGCAGGUUAAUACCCCGCUGUUCUGACGGUACCCAAAGAAUAAGCACCGGCUAACUUCGUG
rnacentral:rRNA from 1 species